GAUGAACGCUGGCGGCGUGCCUAAUACAUGCAAGUCGAGCGAAUGGAUUAAGAGCUUGCUCUUAUGAAGUUAGCGGCGGACGGGUGAGUAACACGUGGGUAACCUGCCCAUAAGACUGGGAUAACUCCGGGAAACCGGGGCUAAUACCGGAUAACAUUUUGAACCGCAUGGUUCGAAAUUGAAAGGCGGCUUCGGCUGUCACUUAUGGAGGGAUCCGCGUCGCAUUAGCUAGUUGGUGAGGUAACGGCUCACCAAGGCAACGAGUCGGAGGCGACCUGAUGGGGUGAUCGACCACGUAGGGACUGAGACGCGGCCCAGACUCCUACGGGAUGGCGCAGUAGUGAAUUUUCCGCAAUGGACGAAAGUGUGACGGAGCAACGCCGCGUGAGUAAUGGAGGCUUUCGGGUCGUGAAAAUCUGUUGUUAGGCAAGAACAAGUGCUAGUUGAAUAAGCUGACCCCUCGACGGUACCUACGCAGCAAGCCACGGCUAACUACGUGCCAGCAGCCGCCGCAG
rnacentral:rRNA from 1 species